rnacentral:rRNA from 1 species
GUUUUGGAGGGUUUGAUCCUAGCUCAGGAUGAACGCUGGCGGCGUGCCUAAUGCAUGCAAGUCGAACGGUACUCUGAUUUCGGUUAGUGUACAGUGGCGAACGGCUGAGUAAAGCAAGGGCAACCUGCCCCACAGUGGGGAAUAACUCCGAGAAAUCGGAGCUAAUACCGCAUACGAUCAUCCCAGUUCGCUGAGAUGAUGAAAGCCUCACGGCGCUGAGGGAGGGGCUCUUGUCCUAUCAGGUAGUUGGCAGGGUAACGGCCUACCAAGCCUAAGACGGGUAGCUGGUCUGAGAGGAUGGUCAGCCAGACGGGGACUGAGAUACGGCCCCGACUCCUACGGGAGGCAGCAGCAAGGGAUAUUGCGCAAUGGGCGAAAGCCUGACGCAGCGACGCCGCGUGAGGGACGAAGGCCUUCGGGUCGUAAACCUCUUUUCUUGGUGAAGAGUAAGGACGGUAAUCAAGGAAUAAGCCCCGGCUAACUACGUGCCAGCAGCCGCGGUAAUACGUAGGGGGCGAGCGUUAUCCGGAUUUACUGGGCGUAAAGAGCGUGUAGGCGGCUUCCAAAGUUGGCAGUGAAAGGUCCUGGCUUAACUGGGAUACGCCUGCCAAUACUGGGGAGCUAGAGGGCAGCAGAGGAAAGUGGAACUCGCGGUGUAGCGGUGAAAUGUGUAGAUAUCGCGAGGAACACCAGUGGCGAAGGCGGCUUUCUGGGCUGUUCCUGACGCUGAGACGCGAAAGCGUGGGGAGUGAAGCGGAUUAGAUACCCGCGUAAUCCACGCCUUAAACGGUGGAUACUAGGUAUGGGGGGUAUCGACCCUCUCCGUGCCGAAGCUAACGCCUUAAGUAUCCCGCCUGGGGACUACGGCCGCAAGGCUAAAACUCAAAGGAAUUGACGGGGGCCCGCACAAGCAGCGGAGCGUGUGGUUUAAUUCGAUGCAACACGAAGAACCUUACCAAGGCUUGACAUGCCGGUAGUAGGAACCCGAAAGGGCAACGACCCACCUUCGGGUGGGAGCCAGCACAGGUGCUACAUGGCUGUCGUCAGCUCGUGCCGUGAGGUGUUGGGUUAAGUCCCAUAACGAGCGCAACCCUUGUCCUGUGUUGAUUUCUCACAGGAGACCGCCCAGGAAUUCUGGGAGGAAGGUGAGGAUGACGUCAAGUCAGCAUGGCCCUUAUGCCUUGGGCGACACACACGCUACAAUGGGCGGUACAAAUGGUUGCGAAAGAGCGAUCUGGAGCUAAUCCCAAAAAGCCGUCCUCAGUUCGGAUUGCAGGCUGAAACCCGCCUGCAUGAAGGAGGAGUUGCUAGUAACCGCAGGUCAGCAUACUGCGGUGAAUACGUUCUCGGGCCUUGUACACACCGCCCGUCACGUCAUGAAAGCUGGUAACACCUGAAGUCAAUGAGCCAACUCGCAAGAGGGGCAGUUGCCGAGGGUGGGACUGGUGAUUGGGACGAAGUCGUAACAAGGUAGCUGUACCGGAAGGUGCGGCUGGAUCACCUCCUUU